rnacentral:rRNA from 1 species
UACAGGCUUAACACAUGCAAGUCGAGGGGAAACGACAUCGAAAGCUUGCUUUUGAUGGGCGUCGACCGGCGCACGGGUGAGUAACGCGUAUCCAACCUGCCCAUCACUUGGGGAUAACCUUGCGAAAGUAAGACUAAUACCCAAUGACGUCUCUAGAAGACAUCUGAAAGGGAUUAAAGAUUUAUCGGUGAUGGAUGGGGAUGCGUCUGAUUAGCUUGUUGGCGGGGUAACGGCCCACCAAGGCGACGAUCAGUAGGGGUUCUGAGAGGAAGGUCCCCCACAUUGGAACUGAGACACGGUCCAAACUCCUACGGGAGGCAGCAGUGAGGAAUAUUGGUCAAUGGGCGAGAGCCUGAACCAGCCAAGUAGCGUGCAGGAUGACGGCCCUAUGGGUUGUAAACUGCUUUUAUAAGGGAAUAAAGUGAGUCUCGUGAGACUUUUUGCAUGUACCUUAUGAAUAAGGACCGGCUAAUUCCGUGCCAGCAGCCGCGGUAAUACGGAAGGUCCGGGCGUUAUCCGGAUUUAUUGGGUUUAAAGGGAGCGUAGGCCGGAGAUUAAGCGUGUUGUGAAAUGUAGACGCUCAACGUCUGCACUGCAGCGCGAACUGGUUUCCUUGAGUACGCACAAAGUGGGCGGAAUUCGUGGUGUAGCGGUGAAAUGCUUAGAUAUCACGAAGAACUCCGAUUGCGAAGGCAGCUCACUGGAGCGCAACUGACGCUGAAGCCCGAAAGUGCGGGUAUCGAACAGGAUUAGAUACCCUGGUAGUCCGCACGGUAAACGAUGGAUGCCCGCUGUUGGUCUGAAUAGGUCAGCGGCCAAGCGAAAGCAUUAAGCAUCCCACCUGGGGAGUACGCCGGCAACGGUGAAACUCAAAGGAAUUGACGGGGGCCCGCACAAGCGGAGGAACAUGUGGUUUAAUUCGAUGAUACGCGAGGAACCUUACCCGGGCUUGAAUUGCAGAGGAAGGAUUUGGAGACAAUGACGCCCUUCGGGGCCUCUGUGAAGGUGCUGCAUGGUUGUCGUCAGCUCGUGCCGUGAGGUGUCGGCUUAAGUGCCAUAACGAGCGCAACCCCUCUCCUUAGUUGCCAUCAGGUCAAGCUGGGCACUCUGGGGACACUGCCACCGUAAGGUGUGAGGAAGG